rnacentral:rRNA from 1 species
CACGUAGGGUGCGAGCGUUGUCCGGAAUUAUUGGGCGUAAAGAGCUCGUAGGCGGUGUGUCGCGUCGGCCGUGAAAACCUGCAGCUUAACUCCGGGCCUGCAGUCGAUACGGGCGGACUUGAGUUCGGCAGGGGAGACUGGAAUUCCUGGUGUAGCGGUGAAAUGCGCAGAUAUCAGGAGGAACACCGGUGGCGAAGGCGGGUCUCUGGGCCGAUACUGACGCUGAGGAGCGAAAGCGUGGGGAGCGAACAGG